rnacentral:lncRNA from 1 species
AUUAAAACUAAAUUUUUGUGUACCAACAUAAUCAUUGUAAUGGUAAAAAAAAAAAAAAAAAAAAAAAAAAAAAUGUUGCAUUUUGUAGUUUCAACCUAUUUAUUCAUGAAAUUUACAAAUAUUUCAAAUUUAGGAUUUGGAAACAAGCUUCACACAGUUUACAUCAAUCAUAUUGUUUUUAUUAGUACCUGUUUCCCUGUGAUGAGAGUUGUAACUGGGAACUUUAUCAAUGGAAAUUUAAAACUGAAUAGAUUUUUCAGUCCACACUUUCUUAAGAAAAAAAUUAAAAAUCCAAGAGUACUGUCACAAAAAAUGGAAAAUGGCCCUAGCCUGCAGUUCAGUGGUAAACAAUCAAGAUUUCAAAAAAUAUUAUUGUUGUUGUGAAAUGACAGAAUUCAGUUGAAAUUUAGAUAAUUAACUAUAAACUUUAAUCAAAUGUUUAGAUUUAGAAGAUGCAGAUCUCUUCCAUUGGUCCAAAUUGAAUCCUAAACUAAGGAAAUGAAAUUACAUAAACAACAAUUGAUUUCAAUAUUGUCAACCUUUCUGCAUGUUCUAGCUGUUCUCUUUUAUCAUUCUUUAUAUGAAGACUAUCAAAAGAUACCCCCCUUUCCAAAAAAAAAAUAAUUAAAUAGAAACAAGGGCCGUCUUUCCCCUCAGAGCUAUUCAGCUCUUUGAUUGAUUU